AUUGAACGCUGGCGGCGUGCCUAAUACAUGCAAGUAGAACGCAGUUGCGAACGGGUGAGUAACGCGUAGGUAACUGCCUGGUAGCGGGGGAUAACUAUUGGAAACGAUAGCUAAUACCGCAUACUACCAGAUGGACCUGCGUUGUAUUAGGUAGUUGGUGGGGUAACGGCUCACCAAGGCAACGAUACAUAGCCGACCUGAGAGGGUGAUCGGCCACACUGGGACUGGGACACGGCCCAGACUCCUACGGGAGGGAGCAGGAGGGAAUCUUCGGAAAUGGACGGAAGGCUGACCGAGCAAAGCCGGGUGAGGGAAGAAGGUUUUCGGAGCGUAAAGCUCUGUUGUAAGAGAAGCGGUAUCUUACGAGAAAGGGACGGCUAACUACGUGCCAGCAGCCGCGGUAAUUC
rnacentral:rRNA from 1 species